GGGUUGUGAGGUUAAGCGACUAAGCGUACACGGUGGAUGCCCUGGCAGUCAGAGGCGAUGAAGGACGUGCUAAUCUGCGAAAAGCGUCGGUAAGGUGAUAUGAACCGUUAUAACCGGCGAUGUCCGAAUGGGGAAACCCAGUGCAAUUCGUUGCACUAUCGUUAACUGAAUACAUAGGUUAACGAGGCGAACCGGGGGAACUGAAACAUCUAAGUACCCCGAGGAAAAGAAAUCAACCGAGAUUCCCCCAGUAGCGGCGAGCGAACGGGGAGCAGCCCAGAGUCUGAAUCAGCUUGUGUGUUAGUGGAACGGUCUGGAAAGUCCGACGGUACAGGGUGAUAGUCCCGUACACCAAAAUGCACAGGCUGUGAACUCGAAGAGUAGGGCGGGACACGUGGUAUCCUGUCUGAAUAUGGGGGGACCAUCCUCCAAGGCUAAAUACUCCUGACUGACCGAUAGUGAACCAGUACCGUGAGGGAAAGGCGAAAAGAACCCCGGCGAGGGGAGUGAAAAAGAACCUGAAACCGUGUACGUACAAGCAGUGGGAGCACCUUCGGGUGUGACUGCGUACCUUUUGUAUAAUGGGUCAGCGACUUAUAUUCUGUAGCAAGGUUAACCGUAUAGGGGAGCCGCAGGGAAACCGAGUCUUAACUGGGCGUUAAGUUGCAGGGUAUAGACCCGAAACCCGGUGAUCUAGCCAUGGGCAGGUUGAAGGUUGGGUAACACUAACUGGAGGACCGAACCGACUAAUGUUGAAAAAUUAGCGGAUGACUUGUGGCUGGGGGUGAAAGGCCAAUCAAACCGGGAGAUAGCUGGUUCUCCCCGAAAGCUAUUUAGGUAGCGCCUCGUGAACUCAUCUUCGGGGGUAGAGCACUGUUUCGGCUAGGGGGUCAUCCCGACUUACCAACCCGAUGCAAACUACGAAUACCGAAGAAUGUUAUCACGGGAGACACACGGCGGGUGCUAACGUCCGUCGUGAAGAGGGAAACAACCCAGACCGCCAGCUAAGGUCCCAAAGUCAUGGUUAAGUGGGAAACGAUGUGGGAAGGCACAGACAGCGAUGUUGGCUUAGAAGCAGCCAUCAUUUAAAGAAAGCGUAAUAGCUCACUGGUCGAGUCGGCCUGCGCGGAAGAUGUAACGGGGCUAAACCAUGCACCGAAGCUGCGGCAGCGACACUAUGUGUUGUUGGGUAGGGGAGCGUUCUGUAAGCCUGCGAAGGUGUGCUGUGAGGCAUGCUGGAGGUAUCAGAAGUGCGAAUGCUGACAUAAGUAACGAUAAAGCGGGUGAAAAGCCCGCUCGCCGGAAGACCAAGGGUUCCUGUCCAACGUUAAUCGGGGCAGGGUGAGUCGACCCCUAAGGCGAGGCCGAAAGGCGUAGUCGAUGGGAAACAGGUUAAUAUUCCUGUACUUGGUGUUACUGCGAAGGGGGGACGGAGAAGGCUAUGUUAGCCGGGCGACGGUUGUCCCGGUUUAAGCAUGUAGGCUGGUUAUCCAGGCAAAUCCGGAUAAUCAAGGCUGAGGUGUGAUGACGAGGCACUACGGUGCUGAAGUAACAAAUGCCCUGCUUCCAGGAAAAGCCUCUAAGCAUCAGGUAACAUCAAAUCGUACCCCAAACCGACACAGGUGGUCAGGUAGAGAAUACCAAGGCGCUUGAGAGAACUCGGGUGAAGGAACUAGGCAAAAUGGUGCCGUAACUUCGGGAGAAGGCACGCUGGUGUGUAGGUGAAGCCCCUGCGGGUGGAGCUGAGACCAGUCGAAGAUACCAGCUGGCUGCAACUGUUUAUUAAAACACAGCACUGUGCAAACACGAAAGUGGACGUAUACGGUGUGACGCCUGCCCGGUGCCGGAAGGUUAAUUGAUGGGGUUAUCCGUAAGGAGAAGCUCUUGAUCGAAGCCCCGGUAAACGGCGGCCGUAACUAUAACGGUCCUAAGGUAGCGAAAUUCCUUGUCGGGUAAGUUCCGACCUGCACGAAUGGCGUAAUGAUGGCCAGGCUGUCUCCACCCGAGACUCAGUGAAAUUGAACUCGCUGUGAAGAUGCAGUGUACCCGCGGCAAGACGGAAAGACCCCGUGAACCUUUACUAUAGCUUGACACUGAACAUUGAGCCUUGAUGUGUAGGAUAGGUGGGAGGCUUUGAAGCGUGGACGCCAGUCUGCGUGGAGCCAACCUUGAAAUACCACCCUUUAAUGUUUGAUGUUCUAACGUUGGCCCCUUACCGGGGUUGCGGACAGUGUCUGGUGGGUAGUUUGACUGGGGCGGUCUCCUCCCAAAGCGUAACGGAGGAGCACGAAGGUUAGCUAAUCCCUGGUCGGACAUCAGGAGGUUAGUGCAAUGGCAUAAGCUAGCUUGACUGCGAGCGUGACGGCGCGAGCAGGUGCGAAAGCAGGUCAUAGUGAUCCGGUGGUUCUGAAUGGAAGGGCCAUCGCUCAACGGAUAAAAGGUACUCCGGGGAUAACAGGCUGAUACCGCCCAAGAGUUCAUAUCGACGGCGGUGUUUGGCACCUCGAUGUCGGCUCAUCACAUCCUGGGGCUGAAGUAGGUCCCAAGGGUAUGGCUGUUCGCCAUUUAAAGUGGUACGCGAGCUGGGUUUAGAACGUCGUGAGACAGUUCGGUCCCUAUCUGCCGUGGGCGCUGGAGAAUUGAGGGGGGCUGCUCCUAGUACGAGAGGACCGGAGUGGACGCAUCACUGGUGUUCGGGUUGUCAUGCCAAUGGCACUGCCCGGUAGCUAAAUGCGGAAGAGAUAAGUGCUGAAAGCAUCUAAGCACGAAACUUGCCCCGAGAUGAGUUCUCCCCUGAGACUUUAAGUCUCCUGAAGGAACGUUGAAGACGACGACGUUGAUAGGCCGGGUGUGUAAGCGCAGCGAUGCGUUGAGCUAACCGGUACUAAUGAACCGUGAGGCUUAACCUUACAACGCCGAAG
rnacentral:rRNA from 1 species